rnacentral:rRNA from 1 species
UGGGGAAUAUUGCACAAUGGGCGCAAGCCUGAUGCAGCCAUGCCGCGUGUAUGAAGAAGGCCUUCGGGUUGUAAAGUACUUUCAGCGAGGAGGAAGGCGGUAAGGUUAAUAACCUUAUCGAUUGACGUUACUCGCAGAAGAAGCACCGGCUAACUCCGUGCCAGCAGCCGCGGUAAUACGGAGGGCGCAAGCGUUAGUCGGAAUUACUGGGCGUAAAGCGCACGCAGGCGGUCUGUCAAGUCGGAUGUGAAAUCCCCGGGCUCAACCUGGGAACUGCAUUCGAAACUGGCAGGCUAGAGUCUUGUAGAGGGGGGUAGAAUUCCAGGUGUAGCGGUGAAAUGCGUAGAGAUCUGGAGGAAUACCGGUGGCGAAGGCGGCCCCCUGGACAAAGACUGACGCUCAGGUGCGAAAGCGUGGGGAGCAAACA